rnacentral:rRNA from 1 species
UACGAAGGGGGCUAGCGUUGCUCGGAAUCACUGGGCGUAAAGGGUGCGUAGGCGGGUCUUUUAAGUCGGGGGUGAAAUCCUGGAGCUCAACUCCAGAACUGCCUUCGAUACUGGAGAGCUUGAGUCCGGGAGAGGUGAGUGGAACUGCGAGUGUAGAGGUGAAAUUCGUAGAUAUUCGCAAGAACACCAGUGGCGAAGGCGGCUCACUGGCCCGGUACUGACGCUGAGGUGCGAAAGCGUGGGGAGCAAACGG